ensembl:lncRNA
CUUCUGGUCGUUAAUUGAGGGACAUCUAUUAGUCUUUGGAUAAAAGUGGCAGUUUUAAUACCCAAGAAAAAGAUUCCGGGGUAGAUGUCCAACAGACGGUCUCGCUCUAGCGCGCGAAUUGGACGUAUGCCACUGCCGUAGCCCUACAGCCACAUGCAUACAGGGUCUGCUGUGCUGCUGAGUCUCGGUCAGUGUGUGACAUGCAUAACCUACUGGUGGCUGAGGAGGAGAUGAGUGUUUUUACCGGACACCGAUUCAAUUUCUGCCUAUAUUCAGUCUAGGUUUGAGACCGGACUGUGGGGGGGGGACGCGUUGUGCGCUUCGAGGAGGAAUUUGAGUUGAGUGGAAUUCUGAAUCAACUAAGGACUUGAAGACAAAUGACAAGAGGAAUGUAACCGAAGAAAGACGUUUAAAAUGGCACCAAUUGAGAUAAAGGAUCACCUUGUACAAUGGAAAUGUGCAUCUUUGCUCAUAACCCAAAAAGUUAAGCGAAGUUAAAGAAGUGAAGUCUCAGCUGCCAACAGAUGGAUUUUGAUCUCUCUCAUCGGAGGUGAGUAGCGGCGGUUAAUGAACAAGGGACACAGAAGAGGAGAGAGAUAAUGGAGGAGGAAGGGUCGUUGCUAUCUGCAACAGGACAAGACCGGAGGUCAGUGCAUCAUCAAUCCGGAUGUGGUGGAAACAACUCCGAUCCCAUUAACAUCUGCAGAGGCAUCAACAUCAAGCUCAGCACCAGGAACUAAUUCUAAUCCUGCUGCUGAUGAAGAUGACCUUGGCAGCAGCUUUAGUAGUACAGAGCCUGUAGACCCAAUGGAUGAAAGCUUUCAGCCUGGAAUGUGCUCAAUCUCAACAUCAUCUGACUUUGAAACAAGCCAGGACAACCAAAGGUAUUUGGAAAAGCACAAUACCCUCUUGAGAAAACAAAAUCACAGAACACUAAACUGAACCGUCAACAAGACAAAUGGCAUGGGGGAGAGGGGCUGUUAGUA